GACGAACGCUGGCGGCGUGCUUAACACCAGCAAGUCGAACGAAGUGGCGAACGGGUGAGUAACGCGUAAUCAACCUGCCCUUCAGAGGGGGACAACAGUUGGAAACGACUGCUAAUACCGCAUACUGAAGGAGGGGCUUGCGUCGGAGUAGCUAGUUGGAGGGGGAACGGCCCACCAAGGCGAUGAUCAGUAGCCGGUCUGAGAGGAUGAACGGCCCAAUUGGGCCUGGUGACAGGGCCAGACUCCUACGGGAGGCAGCAGUGGGGAAGCUUCCGCCAUGGACGAAAGUCUGACGGAGCAACGCCGCGUGAGUGAUGACGGCCUUCGGGUUGUAAAGCUCUGUUAAUCGGGACGCGGUACCGGAAUAGAAAGCCACGGCUAACUAUGUGCCAGCCGCCGCGGUAAUAC
rnacentral:rRNA from 1 species